rnacentral:tRNA from 1 species
UCCCUGGUGGUCCAGUGGUUAGGACUCCAUGCUUUUACUCCUGGGGCUAAGGUUCGAUCCCUGGUCAGGGAA